rnacentral:tRNA from 1 species
AUUCUUCUAGUAUAAACAGUACAAGUGACUUCCAAUCACUAAGACUCAAACAGCCCUGAGGAAGAGUA